GAUGAACGCUGGCGGCGUGCCUAAUACAUGCAAGUCGAGCGAACAGACGAGGAGCUUGCUCCUCUGACGUUAGCGGCGGACGGGUGAGUAACACGUGGAUAACCUACCUAUAAGACUGGGAUAACUUCGGGAAACCGGAGCUAAUACCGGAUAAUAUAUUGAACCGCAUGGUUCAAUAGUGAAAGACGGUUUUGCUGUCACUUAUAGAUGGAUCCGCGCCGCAUUAGCUAGUUGGUAAGGUAACGGCUUACCAAGGCGACGAUGCGUAGCCGACCUGAGAGGGGGAUGGGCAGCCGGGGAGAGGGGACGACCACCCACAUCAGAGGGGAGACACGGACAAGAAACCUCCCGGAAGGGGCAGAGGCGAGACGGGAGAAACGGGCGAGAGCGUAAAGUGGCCAGGCCGCGUAAAACUUGUUUGUCAGGGAAGAAAAAAUGUCUAAAAAAUGGGGCCAUUUUGGAGGUACCCAAAGAAGAAGCCCCGGCUAAACUCGGG
rnacentral:rRNA from 1 species